AGCAGCCGCGGUAAUUCCAGCUCCAAUAGCGUAUAUUAAAGUUGUUGCAGUUAAAAAGACUCGUAGUUGAAUUUCGGGAUCAGUACGCUGGUCGUGCCUUUGGUAUGUACUGGUGUCACUGAUUCCUCCCUUCUGAAGAACCGUUAUGCCAUUUAUUUGGUGUGGCGGGGAAUCAGGACUGUUACUUUGAAAAAAUUAGAGUGUUUAAAGCAGGCUCGCGCUUGAAUACAUUAGCAUGGAAUAAUGAAAUAGGACGUUUGAUUCUAUUUUGUUGGUUUCUAGGAUCGACGUAAUGAUUAAUAGGGAUAGUUGGGGGCAUUAGUAUUCAAUUGUCAGAGGUGAAAUUCUUGGAUUUAUUGAAGACUAACUACUGCGAAAGCAUUUGCCAAGGAUGUUUUCAUUAAUCAAGAACGAAAGUUGGGGGAUCGAAGACGAUCAGAUACCGUCGUA
rnacentral:rRNA from 1 species